UGCUGCUGUUCAAUUCAUCGGGCAAUAUAUUCAGGAAAACAAGCAAAUUGCAACUGUCAAGUAUUCAGACAGGUCAUGGAUGGUGAAGCUGAGGAGCUAUGGACGCGAUCGGGGGGCCAUUAUUUUCUGCUGGUUGGCCUGCAUUUGCAAGAGAAAAUCUUCUGCAUGUAGAGGAUGUUUGGGUGUUUACGCUCAUUGAUAGGGAUGAUGUUGUGUGCAGAGUCCACAUAUUCAUUAAUGCUGGUAAGGACUUGAUAUGCAUUGACCAAAAAGAACUCUGGAAG